GGGCCCGCACAAGCGGUGGAGCAUGUGGUUUAAUUCGAUGCAACGCGAAGAACCUUACCUGCCCUUGACAUCCUCGGAAGGGACCGGAAACGGACCCGUGCCUUCGGGAACCGAGAGACAGGUGCUGCAUGGCUGUCGUCAGCUCGUGUCGUGAGAUGUUGGGUUAAGUCCCGCAACGAGCGCAACCCUUAUCGUUAGUUACUAACAGUUCGGCUGAGGACUCUAGCGAAACUGCCGGUGAUAAGCCGGAGGAAGGUGGGGACGACGUCAAGUCAUCAUGCCCCUUAUGUCCAGGGCUGCACGCAUGCUACAAUGGCAAGUACAACGAGUCGCAAUACCGCGAGGUGGAGCAAAUCUCUUAAAGCUUGUCUCAGUUCGGAUAGGAGUCUGCAACUCGACUCCUUGAAGUUGGAGUCGCUAGUAA
rnacentral:rRNA from 1 species